GUGAGUAGUUCAGAGUUUGAUCCUGGCUCAGGAUGAACGCUGGCGGCGUGCUUAACACAUGCAAGUCGAACGGAGUGCUCUCGAAAGAGGAUUCGUCCAAUUGAGAGAGUUACUUAGUGGCGGACGGGUGAGUAACGCGUGAGGAACCUGCCUCGGAGUGGGGAAUAACAGUUAGAAAUGACUGCUAAUACCGCAUAAUGCAAUUGUAUCGCAUGGUACUGAUUGCCAAAGAUUUAUCGCUCUGAGAUGGCCUCGCGUCUGAUUAGCUAGUUGGUAGGGUAACGGCCUACCAAGGCGACGAUCAGUAGCCGGACUGAGAGGUUGGCCGGCCACAUUGGGACUGAGACACGGCCCAG
rnacentral:rRNA from 1 species